UACAGGGGGGGCAAGCGUUGUUUGGAAUUACUGGGCGUAAAGGGUUCGUAGGCGGUGCGGCAAGUUGGGAGUGAAAUCUCUGGGCUUAACCCAGAGGCUGCUUCCAAAACUGCUGUGCUUGAGUGUGGGAGAGGCGCGUGGAAUUGCAGGUGUAGCGGUGAAAUGCGUAGAUAUCUGCAGGAACACCCGUGGCGAAAGCGGCGCGCUGGACCACUACUGACGCUGAGGAACGAAAGCUAGGGGAGCAAACAGG
rnacentral:rRNA from 1 species